rnacentral:rRNA from 1 species
UNGUAGGCGNUUUGUCGCNUCUGCCGUGAAAGUCCGGGGCUCAANUNNNGAUCUGCGGUGGGUACGGGCAGACUAGAGUGAUGUAGGGGAGACUGGAAUUCNUGGUGUAGCGGUGAAAUGCGCAGAUAUCAGGAGGAACACCGAUGGCGAAGNCNNGUNUCUGGGCAUUAACUGACGCUGAGGAGCGAAAGCAUGGGGAGCGAACAGGAUUAGAUACCCUGGUAGUCCAUGCCGUAAACGUUGGGCACUAGGUGUGGGGGACAUUCCACGUUUUCCGCGCCGUAGCUAACGCAUUAAGUGCCCCGCCUGGGGAGUACGGCCGCAAGGCUAAAACUCAAAGGAAUUGACGGGGGCCCGCACAAGCGGCGGAGCAUGCGGAUUAAUUCGAUGCAACGCGAAGAACCUUACCAAGGCUUGACAUGAACCGGAAACGCCUGGAGACAGGUGCCCCGCUUGCGGUCGGUUUACAGGUGGUGCAUGGUUGUCGUCAGCUCGUGUCGUGAGAUGUUGGGUUAAGUCCCGCAACGAGCGCAACCCUCGUUCUAUGUUGCCAGCACGUGAUGGUGGGGACUCAUAGGAGACUGCCGGGGUCAACUCGGAGGAAGGUGGGGACGACGUCAAAUCAUCAUGCCCNNUANNUUNUUGGGCUUCACGCAUGCUACAAUGGCCGGUACAAAGGGUUGCGAUACUGUGAGGUGGAGCUAAUCCCAAAAAGCCGGUCUCAGUUCGGAUUGGGGUCUGCAACUCGACCCCAUGAAGUCGGAGUCGCUAGUAAUCGCAGAUCAGCAACGCUGCGGUGAAUACGUUCCCGGGCCUUGUACACACCGCCCGUCAAGUCACGAAAGUUGGUAACACCCGAAGCCGGUGGCCUAACCCCUUGUNGGAGGGAGC